GGAAGGCUCCCCCCACCCAGCCCUCGGCCUGGAAGGGGAGUCUGCACUGAGCUCAGACGUGAUCGUGAUCAAGAGCUCGGUGUAAAGACAGUGGGAGUCAGGAAAGGAUGAAGUGCUCAGCUUCCGCUCAUGCUCAGCUUUCAUUCCCGCUAACAGCUCAACCUUGGAAUAAGAGUCGGUGUAUUCCAUAUCAAAUCUCAACACUUUACCCUGGAUUAUCUCAAGGCCUUCUCUAGAUACCACGGUGUCUCUCCCCUUCUUCCCUGCCCAAAGAUGACUCACAACCCAAGCUGUACAGCCUGUAUCCAUCUAUUAUGUUAGGCUGGGUCUCCACCACCACCUGCUUUGCAUGUCACUAUUUCAGAUGGCAUGCUGGUGUCCUUAUGAGCCAGCCUCCCACAGUGGGAGUGUCACCCCACUCAUCUGUAACAACUGUGAUGACCCAUUGUCUCUGGAGGUGGCAGACUAUUAAGGACUGGAAUAAGC